GUUAAUGGUGUAAGUGGUUAUCACAUCUGCCUAACACGCAGAAGAUCCUAGGUUCGAAACCCAGUUGAAACU
rnacentral:tRNA from 1 species